rfam:Oryza sativa Japonica Group DNA, chromosome 3, cultivar: Nipponbare, complete sequence.
AAUAAGUGCAGUUUUGCACUAUUCACAUUCAACGUUUAAUCAUUCGUCUUAAUUGAAAUUUUUUUAUGAUCAGUAUUUUUAUUGCUAUUAGAUGAUAAAAUAUGAAUAGUAUUUUAUGUGUGAUUAAAUAUUUUCAAUUUUUUCACAAAUUUUUCAAAUAAGACGGACGGUCAAACGUUGGGCACGGAUAUCCACGACUGCACUUAUU